AACUCCGGUUGAUCCUGCCGGCGGCCACUGCUAUCAAGUUCCGACUAAGCCAUGCGAGUCAAGGUAUCGUAAGAUGCCGGCACACUGCUCAGUAACACGUGGAUAAUCUAACCUUGAGUAAGGGAUAACUUCGGGAAACUGAAGGUAAUACCUUAUAAUUGCUUAAAACUGGAAUGUUUUUGCAAUAAAAGUUACGACGCUCAAGGAUGAGUCUGCGACCUAUCAGGUAGUAGGUGGUGUAAUGGACCACCUAGCCUCAGACGGGUACGGGCCCUGGGAGGGGUAGCCCGGAGAUGGACUCUGAGACAUAAGUCCAGGCCCUACGGGGCGCAGCAGGCGCGAACACUGUGCAAUGCGCGAAAGCGCGACACGGGGAGCUUGAGUGUCUUGGCAUAGCCAAGACUUUUCUCAUUCCUAAAAAGCAUGAGGAAUAAGUGCUGGGUAAGACGGGUGCCAGCCGCCGCGGUAACACCCGCAGCACGAGUAGUGGUCACUUUUAUUGAGCCUAAAGCGUUCGUAGCCGGUUUUGUAAAUCUUCAGAUAAAGCCUGAAGCUUAACUCCAGAAAGUCUGAAGAGACUGCAAGACUUGAGAUCGGGUGAGGUUAAACGUACUUUCAGGGUAGGGGUAAAAUCCUGUAAUCCCGGAAGGACGACCAGUGGCGAAAGCGUUUAACUAGAACGAAUCUGACGGUAAGGAACGAAGGCUAGGGUAGCAAACCGGAUUAGAUACCCGGGUAGUCCUAGCUGUAAACAUUGCCCAUUUGAUGUUGCUUUUCCGUUGAGGGAAGGCAGUGUCGGAGCGAAGGUGUUAAAUGGGCCGCUUGGGAAGUAUGGUCGCAAGACUGAAACUUAAAGGAAUUGGCGGGGGAGCACCGCAACGGGAGGAAUGUGCGGUUUAAUUGGAUUCAACGCCGGAAAACUCACCGGGAACGACCUGUGCAUGAGAGUCAACCUGACGAGCUUACUCGAUAGCAGGAGAGGUGGUGCAUGGCCGUCGUCAGCUCGUACCGUAGGGCGUUCACUUAAGUGUGAUAACGAGCGAGACCCACAUCUUUAAUUGCAAAUGUAUAUGAGAAUAUGCAUGCACUUUAGAGAAACCGCCAGCGCUAAGCUGGAGGAAGGAGUGGUCGACGGCAGGUCAGUACGCCCCGAAUUUCCCGGGCUACACGCGCAUUACAAAGAACGGGACAAUACGUUGCAACCUCGAAAGAGGAAGCUAAUCGCGAAACCCGUCCAUAGUUAGGAUUGAGGGCUGUAACUCGCCCUCAUGAAUCUGGAUUCCGUAGUAAUCGCGGGUCAACAACCCGCGGUGAACAUGCCCCUGCUCCUUGCACACACCGCCCGUCAAACCAUCCGAGUUGGUGUUGGAUGAGGUUUAAUUCGAGAGGGUUAAAUCAAAUCUGAUGUCGGUGAGGAGGGUUAAGUCGUAACAAGGUAUCCGUAGGGGAACCUGCGGAUGGAUCACCUCCA
rnacentral:rRNA from 2 species